rnacentral:lncRNA from 1 species
GGGUUGUGUUUAUUAUACAUUUUUCCCUAUAUGUUUAUACUUUAACCCUAAAACUAAAUGUUACCUUGCAGCACAGUCUGUAUGCACAUUAAUGAAAGUUUGGGACAAAUUUAAUGUAAUGUUAUUAAAAACUAUGUUAGUGUGUGGCACUGUAGUGUGGCAGGAUUUUGAACAGUGUUGUAUCUCAUCCGGUGUGUGACUCCCUUCAGAGUUUUGUUAAAUGUUUAUUCAUACAACAAUUUAAUUUUCUUUUGGAAACAGGUUUUAUAAUUGGAACAGCAGUCAUGCAGUGCAGUUUGUUCUGAAAGUCUUCAUUAAAGCAGCAGAGAUUGAGACACAGACAGAAGAGCAGAUGCUGAAACUGUUAUCAUCAGUCUGCAACUACAGCUCUUGUCCUAAUGAAAGGACAUACAGAAUUAAAAAGAGUGAUUUCCUGCUGGAUCUUUGCUCACAUGUGAAGAACUAUGAGACUCAAACAGGCAGGAGUUUUCUUCCAGCAUUACAGUCAGUUUUCCAGUCAGCUGAUGUCUGGAGCAUAGAUCUCUCACAGAGAAAGAGCUCAAUCCUCCUGGAAGUGCUGAAACUCCAAUCAGAGAAGAAACCAGUAGAGCUGAGAGGAUGUUCAGAGGAAGAGAGAGAAGUGAUGAGUUUCCUUCAGUGUCUGCCCUACAUCUCACAGCUGAGGUACCUGACCUUUUGGAUAUUCAUUUACUGCAGUCAAUGUCACUAUAUUCUGAAUCUCUUUAUGUUUCAGAUUUGUGUUUAAAACAAAAUAGACUAUUUCAUAAUGAUCAGAGUUUUAAAAUAAUCUGUAUUCUUUCAUUUGAUGCACUCUUUAUAUCAAAGGAAUAGCUCAAAUUUGCAUGCAUGCUCACAAAUUUUUUUGUUUUUGUCUAGGACGACUCAGAAGUAUAGCACCCCGGAUGCGCACAUUCUAUGCAAGCAAGCUCAAUUUCGAAGUCAACAAAGCAAUAACAAACAUAAUGUUUGAUCACUGGAAUAGCAGUCAUGCAGUGCAGUUUGUUCUGAGACUCUUCAUUAAAGAAGCAGAGAAUGAGAUACAGACAGGAGAGCAGAUGCUGAAGCUGUUAUCAUCAGUCUGCAACUACAGCUCUUUUCCUUAUGAAAGCACUGACAGAAUUAAACAGAGUAAUUUCCUGCUGGACCUUUGCUCACAUGUGAAGGACUAUGAGACUCAAACAGACAGGAGUUUCCUUCCAGCAUUACAGUCAGUUUUCCAGUCAGCACCUGAUGUCUGGAUCAUAGAUCUCUCACAGAGAAAGAGCUCCGUCCUCCUGGAAGUGCUGAAACUUCAAACAGAGAAGAAACCAGUAGAGCUGAGAGGAUGUUCAGAGGAAGAGAGUGAAAUGAAGAGUUUUCUUCAGUGUCUGCUCUACAUCUCGCAGCUGAGGUACCUGAACUUUUGGAGAUUCACUUAACUACUUCUCAAUAAAUAUCACUUCCC